rnacentral:rRNA from 1 species
UGGGGAAUAUUGCACAAUGGGCGCAAGCCUGAUGCAGCGACGCCGCGUGAGGGAUGACGGCCUUCGGGUUGUAAACCUCUUUCAGCUCCGACGAAGCGCAAGUGACGGUAGGAGCAGAAUAAGCACCGGCCAACUACGUGCCAGCAGCCGCGGUAAUACGUAGGGUGCAAGCGUUGUCCGGAAUUACUGGGCGUAAAGAGCUCGUAGGCGGUUUGUCGCGUCGUCUGUGAAAUUCUGCAGCUUAACUGCAGGCGUGCAGGCGAUACGGGAAGACUUGAGUACUACAGGGGAGACUGGAAUUCCUGGUGUAGCGGUGAAAUGCGCAGAUAUCAGGAGGAACACCGGUGGCGAAGGCGGGUCUCUGGGUAGUAACUGACGCUGAGGAGCGAAAGCGUGGGUAGCGAACAGG